rnacentral:rRNA from 1 species
CAUGGUGUGUAGCAAUACACACUGAUGGCGAGCGGCGGACGGGUGAGGAAUACGUAGGAACCUGCCCUCAAGCGGGGGAUAACCAAGGGAAACUUUGGCUAAUACCGCAUAAUCUCGGAAGAGAAAAGCUACCCGCAAGGGCGGCACUUGAGGAGGGGCCUGCGUCCGAUUAGCUAGUUGGUAGGGUAAGAGCCUACCAAGGCGAUGAUCGGUAACUGGUCUGAGAGGACGACCAGUCACACUGGGACUGAGACACGGCCCAGACUCCUACGGGAGGCAGCAGUGGGGAAUAUUGGACAAUGGGGGCAACCCUGAUCCAGCGAUGCCGCGUGAGUGAAGAAGGCCUUCGGGUCGUAAAGCUCUUUAGGUUGGGAAGAAAGGCAUACGGUUAAUAGCCGUGUGUUUUGACGGUACCGACAGAAUAAGCACCGGCAAACUCUGUGCCAGCAGCCGCGGUAAUACAGAGGGUGCGAGCGUUAAUCGGAAUUACUGGGUGUAAAGGGCGCGUAGGCGGUAAGAUGUGUGUGGUGUGAAAGCCCCGGGCUUAACCUGGGAAGUGCAUCGCAAACUAUCUAACUAGAGUAUAUGAGAGGGUGGCGGAAUUUCCGGUGUAGCGGUGAAAUGCGUAGAGAUCGGAAGGAACGUCAAUGGCGAAGGCAGCCACCUGGCAUAAUACUGACGCUGAGGCGCGAAAGCGUGGGGAGCGAACAGGAUUAGAUACCCUGGUAGUCCACGCUGUAAACGAUGAGGACUAGAUGUUGGCAGGGGAACCUGUCAGUAUCGAAGCUAACGCGAUAAGUCUUCCACCUGGGAAGUACGGCCGCAAGGUUGAAACUC